GAAAGUACGUCUGCUGCUCGUUGUCGUUAGAAUUCUGAAUUCUCGCUGCCGCUGGUCGUAAGCUAAAUAGUCGGUUAGGAUUUCAUUUCAGCCUGUGCUAAAAUGUUUCAGCAAUGAAUUCUUUGAUAACCGAAAUAUCCGUACACAUUAAGUGUUAUCUUUUGUUUCUCGAUUCCCUAAUCGUCAUACCUGGGUGUACGGCUACGUUGGUCACUUUAAACGUGGUUGCAAGAAAGCAGUUCAAUCAAGGAAAUGUUAGAAGCAUCCCAAGAUUCGGAUUUUUCUUCAUUUAAACAGGACUGUCUCGAGGCAACAGCGGAGAAACAAUGUCUGAACAUUCCUUAGCUUACUAAACUAAUUGAAACAUCUAAUCAAUUAGAAAAACUUGACUGAAACAAUCAAAGGACCAUGAUUGAAAGGAAUCCAGCCGUCCCGUUCGUGAAUGUAAAGACUGUUUCCUGUCACUAGGUGGCUAAAACUAUGUCCACUAGUUGGCGCGAUGUCAAAGGCACCGAGCGAAAAGGAAAAGGUCUGGAGCUGGAGCUGCUGUACAGAUUGCCAAAAUGUCGUCUCUUAUUACCGGGUGAACGUUACGUCACAUGCAGAAAAACUUCAGAACAAUUAAAUCUAAUGUGGACAUGGAUUUGUUGCAGCCAUCCAGUGAAAGGUGUGAUUAAAUUGAGCUGUUAAAUGCAGUCUUUGGUGCCAAUGUUGUCCUGGAGUGUGGGAGAGUUCCAUGCUUCAAGUCUUCUGGGAUCAGCCAUAUCUAAGUUGACGCUGCAUCAUUGUGCAUUGUGGUUGCCGAAAUGUUGGACAUCUUGUAGAACUGCAAGAAGCCUUCUUGAAAUGCAUUGAUGUUGCUGUCAAAUGCGGCAUGUUGUUGCAGACUGAUGGUGAAGGAUUUUUUGCAUCGAGUUAAACUUUUGCUGUUCCUUGGUGCCGGACUGCUGGUGUUGUGCACAGAAGUUCCAUCUAGAUUUAAUUGUCAUUUGUGUCUAUGCAGUUAACCGUUUAUACGUUGAAAAGGAACAGAAACAGUUCCUUGGUGUUGAAUCGCUGGUGUUGUGCUACAGAAGUUACAUCCUGUAUUUUGUUUAAUUGCCAUUUGCGUCUAUGAAGUUGAUCGUUUAUAUGUUGAGAAAGAAAAAAAAUAGUGAUUUUGGGGAAUUUUCACGUUGAACAAAUAAUAAACAUGCCUUCGCGAAUGGGAAACCAACGAGGAGGAGAUGGGGUGGGGGCAUUUGAUUUUCAUUAACUCGAAGAAGUCGUGGUUUGUUUUAAUAAGGUAGAAAUAAAAGCCUUUCUCUAUCACAUCCAUAUACCUACCUAUAUAACCACAUCUCUUUCUAAAACUCCAUAACUUCCACCAACAUCCAUCCCUUAAACCCCUAUUACCCCACAAAUGUCAAAUAUCUGUAAUAUGUAAAUUUUAUUGUUGAAUAAAUAUACCAUCUAUGUAAAAU